rnacentral:rRNA from 1 species
CGGGGAUAGCCUUUCGAAAGAAAGAUUAAUACCCGAUGGUAUAAUUAGACCGCAUGGUCUUGUUAUUAAAGAAUUUCGGUUAUCGAUGGGGAUGCGUUCCAUUAGGCAGUUGGUGAGGUAACGGCUCACCAAACCUUCGAUGGAUAGGGGUUCUGAGAGGAAGGUCCCCCACAUUGGAACUGAGACACGGUCCAAACUCCUACGGGAGGCAGCAGUGAGGAAUAUUGGUCAAUGGGCGCAGGCCUGAACCAGCCAAGUAGCGUGAAGGAUGACUGCCCUAUGGGUUGUAAACUUCUUUUAUAUGGGAAUAAAGUUUUCCACGUGUGGAAUUUUGUAUGUACCAUAUGAAUAAGGAUCGGCUAACUCCGUGCCAGCAGCCGCGGUAAUACGGAGGAUCCGAGCGUUAUCCGGAUUUAUUGGGUUUAAAGGGAGCGUAGGUGGACAGUUAAGUCAGUUGUGAAAGUUUGCGGCUCAACCGUAAAAUUGCAGUUGAUACUGGCUGUCUUGAGUACAGUAGAGGUGGGCGGAAUUCGUGGUGUAGCGGUGAAAUGCUUAGAUAUCACGAAGAACUCCGAUUGCGAAGGCAGCUCACUGGACUGCAACUGACACUGAUGCUCGAAAGUGUGGGUAUCAAACAGGAUUAGAUACCCUGGUAGUCCACACAGUAAACGAUGAAUACUCGCUGUUUGCGAUAUACAGUAAGCGGCCAAGCGAAAGCAUUAAGUAUUCCACCUGGGGAGUACGCCGGCAACGGUGAAACUCAAAGGAAUUGACGGGGGCCCGCACAAGCGGAGGAACAUGUGGUUUAAUUCGAUGAUACGCGAGGAACCUUACCCGGGCUUAAAUUGCAUUUGAAUAUAUUGGAAACAGUAUAGCCGUAAGGCAAAUGUGAAGGUGCUGCAUGGUUGUCGUCAGCUCGUGCCGUGAGGUGUCGGCUUAAGUGCCAUAACGAGCGCAACCCUUAUCUUUAGUUACUAACAGGUCAUGCUGAGGACUCUAGAGAGACUGCCGUCGUAAGAUGUGAGGAAGGUGGGGAUGACGUCAAAUCAGCACGGCCCUUACGUCCGGGGCUACACACGUGUUACAAUGGGGGGUACAGAAGGCAGCUACCUGGUGACAGGAU